UCUUGACAUCCACAGAACUUGGCAGAGAUGCCUUGGUGCCUUCGGGAACUGUGAGACAGGUGCUGCAUGGCUGUCGUCAGCUCGUGUUGUGAAAUGUUGGGUUAAGUCCCGCAACGAGCGCAACCCUUAUCCUUUGUUGCCAGCGGUCCGGCCGGGAACUCAAAGGAGACUGCCAGUGAUAAACUGGAGGAAGGUGGGGAUGACGUCAAGUCAUCAUGGCCCUUACGACCAGGGCUACACACGUGCUACAAUGGCAUAUACAAAGAGAAGCGACCUCGCGAGAGCAAGCGGACCUCAUAAAGUAUGUCGUAGUCCGGAUUGGAGUCUGCAACUCGACUCCAUGAAGUCGGAAUCGCUAGUAAUCGUGGAUCAGAAUGCCACGGUGAAUACGUUCCCGGGCCUUGUACACACCGCCCGUCACACCAUGGGAGUGGGUUGCAAAAGAAGUAGGUAG
rnacentral:rRNA from 1 species